AUUUUAGAAGCCUGUCAAGUUUUUGGCACAGGCGUUUAGCUGCGGAAAGACGCAGCCGGAUCAAAGCUUGGCCUGUUACAAGAAAUUAUCAUUACAGUUAACGAGAAACUAUUCAACAAAAACUUGCAUGAACCUCGGUCCGAAUAACACGGCGCUACCAUAAGCAUCCAAAGCCACAGGGCCUGCGUACAUGCCGGCCACCCUUUCUUCUAGUGCUGGUCAACGCUUAGAUACCAGCAUCGACCGACAUCGUCAUCUUCUAGAGGGAAUGGUUUUUGAGGCUUCUUCCGUAGUCUGGGACCAUACGUGAUUCUUUUAUUGCUGCUUCCACCAAGUCGCUAAGUGCCCAAAUGAGCGGAAAGGAUCGCUCCCAUAGGGUACUGCUAUUUACCACUGCAUACGCCUGCGUCGUCUACGAGCAUACGCCGUGUUUACCGUUUCGCACACAACAGCAAACAGCUUCGCCAGCGGCUACAAACGUAGCGGACAAAAUGACAACUAUCUGUCUCGCUCAAUAUGUUGAGGCUGUUGGCUUCUUUUGUCAUCGCCCGCCGUCGCAGUAACACGAUGGAGUAGAACGUACCCAUACGUUCAGAAGGGCUAUUUUUGGCUGAAAAUUUUCAUUUCCGGAAGUGGGCUGUUUAGAACACCGUGAAAGGAUGCCUUCUUUCACUAACGUUACCUGCCAUGUAGAGAACAGAGGUUUGUUCGC